GAGUAACCAGUGAUUUGCCGUGCU
rnacentral:siRNA from 1 species